AGCCCUGUCUUGAAAAAUUGUAGCCAAGGUUUAUCCAUGGUGUGAUUAUUGCUAAUUGAAAACUUUCCCAAUACCCAGCCAUGAUGAUUUGCAAUAUAGUCUACAUUGUCAGUGUUUGACAGUCUCUACAGAGA
rnacentral:snRNA from 1 species